AAGUACUGGCAUUGUAAGAAAGAGGAAUGGUGAAAACAAAAUUAAAGAACACGUUCUGCGAAACAGUUGUCAUUGGCGUCUCUGGAGACCGCCAUCUCUGUCUCAGAGAACAGUCCUCACCUGGAGUCCCUGUAUCUCUUCUUGCCCUUCUUGAGCUACUACUGUGCUGCAUCCAGUUUGAUAUGAACGAGAUUUUAUAAGAGAACUCUUCUUGUCUCGUCUAGCAAAUAACCCAACAAUAUUUGAAGCCUGAUGUCAUGGGGCCACUCCUACAAUGGGCAGGAAGAGCUGCAUUUCGAUAUAUACAAAAAUCUGGAAAAAAUUUACUGGCUUAUCCAGGCAAGACCUGCAAAGUAGACAGGUGAAGAUGGGUUUGGCACUUUUAGUCCUUCUUCAGGAGCUAUGAAAGG
rnacentral:lncRNA from 1 species